rnacentral:snRNA from 1 species
AUACUUACCUGAACGGGGUCGAUGGGUGAUCAAUAAGCCUCAUGGCCUAGCUUAGUGGCCUACAUUGCACUUGGGAGGAACGCUAGCCUACCCUCUUCCCAAGUGGGAGAGUUGGACUGUUGUAAUUUGUGGAAGAGAGGGUACGCGUUCGCGCAGCCCCUGC